AAAGCAGCAAUAGACUUGCAUAUUAACUUGACCUCCUCUAGAUACUUAAAAGCAGCAGCUGGACUGAGGAACCUAGAUCUCUCAAGUUAUUCAUCUAAGUAGGAAAUAUGUAAUAAAUAAUUUAAAAAAGAAAAGAAAAAAGGCCCUGUCCCUGUUGUUUUUUGUUGUUGUUGUUGUUUUGUUAUUGUUUGGUUGUUCUUAUUUUUUUUUAAUAGAUUUUUGAUAGUGCAAAUUAUUUUAGGCAACAAAGCAGAAGAAAUAGUGUUUUCCACAGAAUUCUCAGCUUUUGGGAAUUCGCCCAGAUACUGCAUUUUGCACUAGCUAAGCGUUCUGGGUGUCACUGUCCUUUGAGCAAAGGAAUUGCAAUUUAUUUGUUAAGACAGUAGAAAAAGGUUUCUGUUUCAUUAUUUUAAACAUAAUUUCAGUCAGUCAGUCAAACUUGUUUUAAUAUAUUGUUACCUAUAGCUGACUGAUAUGUAACUGUUUAAACAUUGUAAAACACAGGAAUUAUUCCUCAACCUCUGAGAAUGGUCUUGCUAUAGAAGUCUGGAAUAAGUCUCUGCUGUCUGUCUGAUGAUGACGGUUGGUCGAUCUCAGUGUAGGCUGCUGCUGAAAGAGGUGGUCUUGACCUCCCUUUUGCAGAGGUGCCUUCUUGCUCCUUCCUGUGCUAAGACUAGUGCUCAAGUGGCUAUCCAGAAGGUCGGAGAUGGGAACUGACCAGUUGUAAACUAAACAUUUUGUUCUUCUGGAUUAUAUCUCAACUGUAUCAGAUUCUUGAUCCAUCCCUUUUGCAGUUACUGAUUCCUGCACAGGGACUGAGGCAGUAACAUGCAGCUGGGGAAAGGUGGGACUGCUGCUUUUGAUGGUUGCUACAUUCAGAUUGCUUUAAGACAAUUGUGAAAUCUACCUUAAGACUGCUUUCAUCAGGUGAUGUCAAAUGUGAGGAACUGGAACGUAAAUAGCAAAUAUUUGGCAACAGUCAGAACUGAAUAUGUUCUUGGGGCAGAGGGUGUGUGACCUUUGUUCAUUCUCUAAUUUUUGUUACAGGGGAAGAUAUUGCUCUAUGUACAUUAUGGUGCUAGGUUUGCUACAGUUGUGAUUGUGCAUUUAUUAUAUAAAAUCAAACAAAUUUUGAAAAUACAGCACUGCUUAUAUUAAAAACUGAUGUAGUUAAAUUCUCUUGUGUAGACCAUAUAAUAAAGCACAGUAGGUUAAAUGUUUCACCUCUUAUUUCACUGCUCAGUAUUCAUUAGAACUUAGUGUCAUAACUCUGGAAGAUAGGGUAUCUGGGCUGCAUGAAGCAUGGGUGGGAAUCUUACAAAGUACUCUUAUUCUGUUUUAUCAUUAGUUUUGACUUUCUCAGAAGAAUAUGAAAUACCAUAUGUUGAGCUGCUUGAGAAAUCAGUUUCGAUUGUGCUGUUUAUAGUGCAUGUAAAAUGGUAUGGAUCAAAGAUGGCAACAGAAGCGGACAGCUGUUAAUCGUAUCAAGCAUUGUACUCAGAGAUCUGAAGUCUUUAUAAUGCCAGCCAGACUACACAGAAGUGUAUUACUCAAUGGAAUUUGUGCAUACUAUCUUCUGUUAUUUCAAAUCUGGUUUUGAUUCUGCUGGAACAAGCUGGUACAGUCUAGGACUAUCUUACAGAUUACUGAAGUUGGACUAAACAGAAAUGAAGAAAAGAUUUCGAAGAAAAGAUUUCUGUGAAAUCUGUGUAAACUCUUCUCUAAGUGAUUAAAGAUCGUGUAGUUUUGAAUGCAUAUUUGUUGAGGAUGGUCCAGUUGUCUCGACUGGUGAAGUUUGAUGUUGGUUUGAGACAUACUUGGUUAGACUGGUCUGCAGGUGUAGAAAGAGCCAUGUUUUUACCUCUUACUUUACCCCUGUGCAUCACGUAUAGUCUGCCCUUCAUAAGUGAAAGAAGCAAUCAGGGUAUCAAUAAAUGUUCACAAAUCAUAGAACCAUAGCAUAGUUUGGGUUGGAAGGGAUCUUAAAGAUCACCCAGUUCCAACCCCCCUGUCGUGGACAGGGACACCUCCCACUACACCAGGUUGCCCAAAGCCCCAUCCAGCCUGGCCUUGAACACCUCCAGGGAUGGGGCAUCCACAGCUGCUCUGGGCAACAUGUGCCAGUGCCUCACCGCCCUCUGAGGGAAGAAUUUCUUCCUUAUAUCUACUCUAAAUCUCCCCUUUUUACAUUUUAAAACCAUUCCCCCUUGUCCUAUCACUGCACCCCCUGACAGAGUCCCUCCCCAGCUUUCCUUUAGGCCCCCUUUGGGUACUGGAAGGCUGCUAUAAGGUCUCCUUGGAGC